GUACUCGAGCGGCGAACGGGUGAGUAACACGUGGGUAACCUGCCUUCAGCUCUGGGAUAAGCCUGGGAAACUGGGUCUAAUACCGGAUACGACACGCGACCGCAUGGUGGUGUGUGGAAAGUUUUUCGGCUGGAGAUGGACUCGCGGCCUAUCAGCUUGUUGGUGGGGUAGUGGCCUACCAAGGCGAUGACGGGUAGCCGGCCUGAGAGGGCGACCGGCCACACUGGGACUGAGACACGGCCCAGACUCCUACGGGAGGCAGCAGUGGGGAAUAUUGCGCAAUGGGCGGAAGCCUGACGCAGCAACGCCGCGUGAGGGAUGACGGCCUUCGGGUUGUAAACCUCUUUCAGCGCUGACGAAGCCUUCGGGUGACGGUAGGCGCAGAAGAAGCACCGGCUAACUACGUGCCAGCAGCCGCGGUAAUACGUAGGGUGCGAGCGUUGUCCGGAAUUAUUGGGCGUAAAGGGCUCGUAGGCGGUUUGUCACGUCUGCUGUGAAAGCCCGGGGCUUAACCCCGGGUCUGCAGUGGAUACGGGCAGGCUAGAGUCCGGCAGGGGAGACUGGAAUUCCUGGUGUAGCGGUGGAAUGCGCAGAUAUCAGGAGGAACACCGGUGGCGAAGGCGGGUCUCUG
rnacentral:rRNA from 1 species